rnacentral:rRNA from 1 species
AGUCACUGACAUUAGAUACCCCUGUAGUCCCAGCCGUAAACAAUGUGCGUUAGGUGUGUCGGUAACCACGUGUUACUGAUGCGCCGAAGAGAAAUCGUGAAACGCACCACCUGGGAAGUACGGUCGCAAGGCUGAACUUAAAGGAAUUGGCGGGGAGCACCACAACAGGUGGAGCCUGCGGUUUAAUUGGACUCAACGCCGGACAUCUCACCGGAUAAGACAGCUGAAUGAUUGCCGGGCUGAAGACUCUGCAUGACUAGCUG